UUAAAAAAACUUGAGAAUGUAUUUUUAUAUAUUUUAAAAACCAAGUUUGACUCUCCUCACAAAGUUACUGUUUCAUUCAACAGUAACUUUGUACAAAUCUUUAUGCAGCAGAUAUAAAUCGUUUUUGCAUAUGAAAUAAACCGCCUCAUCAUAUAUCUAUCUGCCUCACAAUCUAAUUUUUUUAUUUUCUAAAACUUACUCUUACAUUCAUCUAUAUCUACCUCACCAAUUUAUGUUGCAUCUUCUUAUGGAAGGAUGAAACGACUAUGAGAUGCUGGAUUUGGCAACAACUUUCAAUAAAAUUACAAAUUUUCUCUUUAUAUGUCUUUCAUAUUUCAAUAUAUACAGUAUUUAUGUACAGAGUAUAUACUUCAAUGAGUCAUUUUGCUACACAACAGCAUGUGAAUAAUUAGUUGUCUGAAUAGGAAUCCUUUUUCCUUUUACAUGUUCUAAAAUUCUAAUGGCAUUAUCAUUAUGAUAUUAAAAUACGUUACAGGGAGCUGCAGUUAACGCUAUUGUGAUGUCAAAACAGGUGCAAUAUUUUGACUCCAACCCUCAUUAAGAUUUCAGACGGCUUAUGAGAAGACAUAGUUGUAUCUAACAUUGCAUUUAAUUGGUAGUAUGAUGCCUUUUGUUGUAGUCUAAUAUCUGCUUUUUAACUCAGUAUAAUAUUACUCUUUAAUU